GACCAGAGUGAUGGUUAAAGGGGCCACAGCGAUUUCCGCUUUCUGUGGAGGAACCAAAACAUUCAGAGGCUCAGAACGGGACGUUCCUAUUAAGAUUUUUAAUUGAAACAAAGCUGCAAAACUAAGUAUUUUAUGAUGUCAAAACUGGAGAAAAAAAACAUUAUUUCAAAGUCUCAAAGUUUUCAGUUGUUUGUUGUAUAUUUUAAAAGGAUGUUUCAGCUGAAAUAUCUUAUAUUUUGUCAUUGUUUAUUCGCCUUCAUGUCAUUUUAAAACACAAGAAUAUAGCAAGUCUUUGUUUCGAGCAACAUGAGGCUCCCCAACCAUGCCGUUCCAGAUCUUCGUCUCCGGAUCUCUGGCUCCGUAUUUCCCGUCAGGAACGAUGGAGAUCUUGUAUCUGAUGCCGAUGUGCUUGGCGAUCUCAGACGCCAGAUCCACGCAGUAUCCU